rnacentral:rRNA from 1 species
UACGGAGGGUGCAAGCGUUAAUCGGAAUUACUGGGCGUAAAGCGCGCGUAGGCGGCUUAUUAAGUCGGAUGUGAAAUCCCUGGGCUCAACCUAGGAACUGCAUCCGAUACUGGUAAGCUAGAGUACAGUAGAGGGUGGUAGAAUUUCUUGUGUAGCAGUGAAAUGCGUAGAUAUAAGAAGGAAUAUCAGUGGCGAAGGCGGCCACCUGGACUGAUACUGACGCUGAGGUGCGAAAGCGUGGGGAGCAAACAGG